rnacentral:pre_miRNA from 1 species
AGAUCAAAGAGCAUUUCAUCUAUUUGUAUUAAUAAAAACUGGUGCGGCUGACAAAAUAACUAGACAAUGACACGUAACAUGCCAUGUGUACCUUAUGUUGACGUAUAAGGACCAAUUUUUAAUAGUAAAAAUGAAUGAAUUUUUUAACA